CCUACGGGAGGCAGCAGUGGGGAAUUUUCCGCAAUGGGCGAAAGCCUGACGGAGCAAUACCGCGUGAGGGAGGAAGGCUCUUGGGUUGUAAACCUCUUUUUUCAGGGAAGAUAAUGACGGUACCUGAGGAAUAAGCAUCGGCUAACUCCGUGCCAGCAGCCGCGGUAAUACGGAGGAUGCAAGCGUUAUCCGGAAUGAUUGGGCGUAAAGCGUCCGCAGGUGGUUUUAAAAGUCUGUUGUUAAAGCGUGAGGCUUAACCUCAUAAGGGCAAUGGAAACUGUAAGACUAGAGUACGUUCGGGGCAAGGGGAAUUCCCAGUGUAGCGGUGAAAUGCGUAGAGAUUGGGAAGAACACCGGUGGCGAAAGCGCCUUGCUAGGCCGUAACUGACACUGAGGGACGAAAGCUAGGGGAGCGAAUGGGAUUAGAUACCCCAGUAGUCCUAGCCGUAAACGAUGGAUACUAGGCGUUGUCUGUAUCGACCCGGACAGUGCCGUAGCUAACGCGUUAAGUAUCCCGCCUGGGGAGUACGCACGCAAGUGUGAAACUCAAAGGAAUUGACGGCUGAGACNGCAGCGACACGAGGAGUAG
rnacentral:rRNA from 1 species